ensembl:snRNA U6 U6 spliceosomal RNA
GUGCUCACUUCGGCGGCACAUAUACAAAAAUUGGAAUGAUUUAGAGAUUAUCAUACUCCCUGCACAGGGAUGACAUGCACAUUUGUCAUGUGUUCCACAUUUUU